UUCUCCGUUUCCCCCACUUCAUCUGAUGAGGUCCUUCUCAAAUAAAGAACAAUAGAACAUAGAUCUUCCAUUUAUAACCAAACUGGAUCAUUGGUCUACUUAUUGUUAUGAUUUGCGGUAUUUAUAUACAGUAGAGUCUCACUUAUCCAAGACUCACUUAUCCAACGUUCUGGAUUAUCCAACACAUUUUUGUAGUCAAUGUUUUCAAUGCAUUGUGAUAUUUUGGUGCUAAAUUCGUAAAUACGGUAAUUACUACAUAGCAUUAAUGUGUAAUGAACUACUUUUUCUGUCAGAUUUGUUGUCUAACAUGAUGUUUUGGUGCUUAAUUUGUAAAAUCAUAACCUAUUUUGAUGUUUAAUAGGCUUUUUCUUAAUCUCUCCUUAUUAUCCAACAUAUUUGCUUAUCCAACGUUCUGCCGGCCCAUUUAUGUUGGAUAAGUGAGACUACUGUACCGCCCUUCUCAACCUCGAAGGGGACUCAGGGCAAUUCACAAUGUUGUCAACAAUUCAAGCUCUUAGCACUUGUCUGUCUUUAAUUAUCUGAUAUUUUGAUGCACUGCUUUCCAAUGCAAGAAUCAUUAAAAAAAAUUUGAAAUAACAAAAAUAUCCACAAAACAUCACAACAGCCAUUCCUCCAAAGGACAUUGCUAAAAGAACAACAUAACAGCAGUGAUUGAGUUUUCUGAGGAACAGUUCCAGAUCACAGACAGCUAGGUGAAACAAAAAAUGUUUUCACUGACCUAAAACUCUUAAUGUAGCACUCCUGGAAGAUGUGAUUCAAAAUGAAUAGGAUGUGAGAUUUGACAAUCUUAGUCAAAGACCCAAUUAAGUACACAUGAAAAUAAAGAAAAAUAUUCCCAACAAUGUGGUUUUAUGUUCUUUGAUGCGUGUCUCCCAUUCCUGUGUGUACAAGUUGCGAGUCAGUUAGGAAUUUCAGUUGAUGCUGAGUAGAAUUCCUUCACAUGGCUCUAGGUGGGAAGCAUAGUUUCACAUAGCAGAAACCCUUUUACACUACAGAAUGACAGCACCAUGAUUCUGCCAUGGUAAAAUCAUGUGAAAUGGUUGAAUUUGUAGUUUGUUCAAAGAUACAGAGGAGCUCUUUGCCUGAGGAUUCAAAAUGUCCUUCCCUUAGCUGUCAGUCCCAGAAUAUCAUAGAAGUGGAGGGCAUAGUUACCUUCCUAAUAAGAGUCAUGACCAUGGGCCAAUGGAGACGUGUGACAGCAGGGGUGAUCAUCCUGAUAACUUACUGGAAAUCUGUAAUCACACAAAUGUUGUGAGAUGGUAGUUUUGGAUAAUAAAGUCCAGUGACUCAUGAUCUUCUGAUACUGCCUUCUUCAAUGUUGACACUAUAUCAUAUGUUGAGCUCAUGUUUAAAAGAUGUACUUUAUCAAGUGGUAAAAGAACGUUUGUUGCAAUUUGUGCUUUUCCUCCUCAGUAUUUAACAUAUUUUUAUUUUGUGAUUGGUCAUCAAAAGAUAGGUCUAGCUACUGAAUAUGUAUGUAUGUAUAUAUGCCGAAUUUGUAUUUGCAAGACAUAUGCAUUCUCUACCUAGUUUGCUCUCAGGUCAAAAUAGCGUGAGCAAGACUGAGAUUUCAGUUCUGAACACAAAAGUGUUGAUCAGGAAGAAAAGGGUGGAAGGAGACUGAUGUUGGGGGUGUGAUAAUUACCCCCUUGGGAAGUGAUACUUGCAAGUGGUGGGAGGCCAUUGAGGAACAAUUUUCCUGCAAUCAAGAUCUUUCCCCAGAGAGGCUAAUAAGAGGGAUGAGAUUAUUUUGGGAGCAAUCAUCCUGUUGAAUAUGUAAUAAAGAUUUUGAUUCCACCUUGUAGAAUCUUCAACUGUUUUGCGGAUUUUGUUAAUCAGAAGAUUAUAUUUUUAUACCUGCUUUGAUUGAACAGAAUGCUCAUGAGCUACUUAAGAAAAAAAGGAAGAGGCAGCAGCAAGUGAGAUAAAAGAUGGAGAGAAGAAACAAUUUGGUAGAAAAAUAUAGAAAAAGUUUUCAACAGUAAUUAAUCAUUGUCUAAGUAACUUUGUAUUUUUCUCAAACCAGUUUCUGGUGUAUGGGUGAGCAUCUUACACCAAAUCUUUUAUACAUAUGUACAUUUUUAGUGUCAUGAAAAAUAUGUGCCUUCAAGAGUAACAGCUAGAGUUUGGUGGAAAAUAGUUUCACUAAAAUGUAACUAUUUCAUACCAUCAUCAAAGUCAAAGAGUUGCUAGAUUUAUUUUAAUAUACAGUGUUCCCACACUUAUCGUGGUGGUUAGGUUCCAGGACCACCCGCAAUAAGUGAAAAUCCGCAAAGUAGGGACACUAUAUUUAUUUUAAUAUUUAUACAUUAUUUUAGUAGGUACACAUUAUUUUAAGUCUUUAUCAACCAAUUGUGUGUUAAUAAAUCGCCUCCUUCUCCUCCCGUUGCCGCUUGGGCUCCUUUUCUCUCCCUUCGGCUUCUCCUUCCUCCCUUCCUUAUGCUCUAAAUUGUAAUUUUUUAUGAUUACUAAUAGUCUUUUAGAGUUUAUUGAAAAUCGUGAAACAACCAAUCUGCAAAAAGUGAACUGCAAAGUAGUGAGGGAACACUGUACAUGUUAAGAAAGACAAAGAUUGGUGAGUAUACUUGCAAAGAACAAUAUAUUCAUCUAACCUAAUCAUAUUUUGUUUUCCUCCUGAAAAUUCACCUUCAGAGGUUACAGUGGAAGUGGCAUUAUUUUGUUGUCAUGCCUGAAAUUAGCAAGUACGAUAUAAGGGGAAAUAAUAUUAUAGAUAUAUGAGUCACUAUGGAAAAAAUAACAAGGAAACAAAAUGGUAGGCUGAAAUUCAGGCUGUCACUGACUAUUGCAGUCAUGAAUGUGUAAUAUAGAGUUGUAUAUUUGUAGCUGCUUCAUAUUCACAAUCACUAUGUAGUUUCUAACUUCUCCCUCCCAACCUAUUUUCUUGGAUAUGUCAGACACACAUCUUAGAUUUUAAGAAAUUAGAGGAAAAGAGAUUUUACCUAAAUACAGUAGAGUCUCACUUAUCCAACAUUUGCUUAUCCAACGUUCUGGAUUAUCCAAUGCAUUUUUGUAGUCAAUGUUUUCAAUACAUUGUGAUAUUUUGGUGUUAAAUUUGUAAAUACAGUAAUUACUACAUAGCAUUACUGCGUAUUGAACUACCUUUUCUGUCAAAUUUGUUGUAUAACAUGAUGUUUUGGUGCUUAAUUUGUAAAAUCAUAACCUAAUUUGAGGUUUAAUAGACUUUUCCUUAAUCCCUCCUUAUUAUCCAACAUAUUCGCUUAUCCAACAUUCUGCCGGCCUGUUUUUGUUCGAUAAGUGAGACUCUACUGUAUUCGGAAAAAGCUCUUGAUGGUAAAAGCUGGGCAACAGUGGAAUAAGCUGCUGCCGUGGAGUGUGGUGGAGCCUUCUCUGGAGGGUUUUAAACAGAUGUUGGUGGCCAUGUGUCGGGAGUGCUUUGAUUGUGUAUUCCUGCAUGGCAGGGGGUUGUAUUGUAUGCUCUUGUGGUCUCUUCCAAUCGUAUGAUUAUAUGAACUCAGAUAGUUGCAAAACUCAUGAGACAUUUUCAAAGAACUAAUAUGCACAAAUAACAAUGGACAUGUUUGAAAAUGGGAAUUGUUAUUGUGUGUUCGGCUAAAGAAAAAAUAAAAUAAAAAAAGAAGUAUGCAUAAACAUGGAUUAGACCGGGGUCCCCAAACUAAGGCCUGGGGGCCGGAUGCGGCCCAUCGAAGCCAUUCAUCCGGCCCCCAUGGCACAAGGGCAUAAGGGGGUUGGGCUAAAUGACCCAAGGGGUUUCUUCUUCUCUUACAACCCCUAUUAUUAUUAUUAUUAUUAUUGACAUUAAGGCUGGGUGGCCAUCUGUCAGGGGUGCUUUGCUUGUGCUUUUGGUGCACAGAGGCAGAUGGGGGUUGGACUUAAUGGCACAAGGUGUGUCUUCCAACCCUCUUUAUUUAUUAUUAUUAUUAUUAUUAUUAUUAUUAUUAUUAUUAUUAUUAUUAUUAUUAUUAUUAACAUUGAGGCUGGGUGGCCAUCUGUCAGGGGUGCUUUGCUUGUGUUUUCGGUUCACAAAGGCAGAAGGGGAUUGGACUCAAUGGCCCAAAGGGUCUCUUCCAACCCUUUUUAAAUUAUUAUUGCUAUUAUUAUUAUUAUUAUUAUUAUUAUUAUUAUUAUUAUUAACAUUGAGGCUGGGUGGCCAUCUGUCAGGGGUGCUUUGCUUGUGCUUUUGGUACACAAAGGCAGAAGGGGAUUGGACUCAAUGGCCCAAAGGGUCUCUUCCAACUCUCUUUUUAUUAUUAUUGCUGUUAUUAUUAUUAUUAUUACUAUUAUUAUUAUUAAUUAUUAUUAUUAUUGCUCGGUGGCCAACUAUAGCCCGGCCCUCCAACGGUCCGAAGGAUUGUGAACUGGCCCCCUGCUUAAAAAGUUUGGGGACCCCUGGAUUAGACAAUGGUGGGAAACACAGAAGUUAGGUACAAGCAUGUAAAUAAAUGUGAAUUAUACGGAAAAUUGUGCAUAAUUGUCAGUGGGGAACCUCUACCUUCAUCUCAGUUUUUCAACCCAGUGCAAAAGAAAAACAGGGAGAAUAUUUAGGUGGAAUCCUGCAAAAUGCUGCUCUGUUAUAUCUGAUUCCAAAUCUAAUAGAACUUGUGGAGACAUAUGUUUUUUUUCUGUUUCAUGCUUCAUGGGAUCUAUUGAGGAUGGCUGUGGGACGUUGACCCUCCAGGUGUUUGAUUUAUGCUCACCAUAGUUCCUCAAAAUUGACCAUGUUGGGUGAGGCUCGUGGGAGCUUUAGUCCAAAACAUCUGGAUGGCUGGACAUUCCUCACCUCGGUGUAGAUUUACCAGCUUCUUAUCCUUGCUAAGUCCUCAAUAUGUCUGCUGAAACGGAGAUAGGCUUAUGUGGUAAGCUGUCAUGUUCCUUCUUGGAGAUUGCUUGAGUAGGAGUAAAUGCCACAAUCAUCGUGCUGUUUUCAUAGAUAUGUAAUACGUUGUCUCUUCAUUGCCAUUUCUUCUUAUGUAACUAAACUUUAUUUUAUUUUGAGUUUUGGAAGACUUUCAUAUGAAAGGCUUCACUUCCAGUUGUACUUGGCAUGUGUUCUAGCUUGGAAAGACUUUCUGUCUGCUCUUUGAACAUGGAAAGAGAGCUUCCUCAGACCCAUCACCUUGAAAAGAUGACUGAGCAGAGGACUGGGUUAGGAACUGUAGAAAUAAACAAGAAAGCAAGCACAGUAAGUGGAAAAUAGGAAUGUGAAAGUGAGAAAAAAACCCACCUCGCAGUAGGUGAGAUUUUGAUUGAGAUAGGGUGAUAUUGACACAUGGAGACAGUUUGCUGAGUGUUUUCCAAAGCUCACAAAAGUUUUUGCCUCCAGCAUCAGAGCAUGACACUGAGGUCUUUUUCUUACUGUUAUGUUUUCUGCAUUUUUUUACUGAAAGUUUCUAUACAGACUUGUCUUUCCCUGUUGUGUAGCUGAGCAGAGGAAGCACAAAAGUAACCUCUCCAAUGUUACCACUUUUUAACAACCACUGUGGGAGCUUUUAUUUUGGCACUUAGAGAAAUAUAAUAAAUGAGAAAUCAAUUAAAAAUAAUAAAAAUCAAUUUGCAUGUGUGAGUGGGGAUGGGGGAUGGGAGACAAGGAAAAAUAUUUCUUAUUUUCUUAUUGGCAGCAUAAGAACAAAGUCAGGACUUGUAUCCCUGGUAGGGAAGGAUAGGAAAUCACAUUUUCUUCUUUGAAUAGUUGAUACUGGAAAUACAGUAGAGUCUCACUUAUCCAACACUCGCUUAUCCAACAUUCUGGAUUAUCCAACACAUUUUUGUAGUCAAUGUUUUCAAUAUAUCGUGAUAUUUUGGUGCUAAAUUCGUAAAUACAGUAAUUACUACAUAGCUUUACUGUGUAUUGAACUACUUUUUUGUCAAAUUUGUUGUAUAACAUGAUGUUUUGGUGCUUAAUUUGUAAAAUCAUAACCUAAUUUGAUGUUUAAUACGCUUUUCCUUAAUCCCUCCUUAUUAUCCAACAUAUUCACUUAUCCAACGUUCUGCCGGCCCGUUUAUGUUGGAUAAGUGAGACUCUACUGUAACUGAAUUAUGAAGCCAGCAUAAUUUAGUUCAAAUUUCUGACUGAAUAGACAUUUUAGAUGAGAAAACUAGUUCCCAUCCCAUUGUGGUUCUCUGUACCUGAAUAAUGCAAUUCUGCACAACCUGGCACCUUCCAGACAAGUUGGCCUACCAGUCCUAGCCACCCUAAACAAUGGUGGGAGAUUAUGAGUGUUGUAGUUCAAACUGAAAGGUCCCAGGGUUCAAAUCCCGGGAGCGGAGUGAGCGCCCGCUGUUGCUCCAGCUUCUGCCAACCUAGCGGUUCGAAAACAUGCCAAUGUGAGUAGAUCAAUAGGUACCGCUCCGGCAGGAAGGUAAUGGCGCUCCAUGCAGUCAUGCCGGCCACAUGAUCUUGCAGGUGUCUACGGACAAUGACAGCUCUUCAGCUUAGAAAUGGAGAUGAGCACCAACCCCCAGAGUCGGACAUGACUGGACUUAACGUCAGGGGAAACCUUUACCUUUUAGUUCAAAGCAUAUAGAGAUGAAUCUGGCUGGUCCUGCUAUGUAACGGCCAACACUAAAAGGAAAAUGAAGAGCCACACAUUUGCAUGUGUUAAUGCAUAUGAACAGAUACAUAUUUAGAAAUAAUAAUUAGCUCUUAAACUCCACAGAAGGCAAACUGACUAAUUUCUCCUUCAGAUCACUCCAAACUUGAAUACAUUACUCUAUUGAUGUAAAUGCCACCAUCAAACUGUGAUGCUUUGCCUCAUCUUUUCCCCCCAUUUCCUCUGCUUUAAGGUGUAGAGAUCCACAAACAUUCCUCUACUCUGGAAAUGUAUAAAUAGCAAUCAGGAUUUAGAGUAGAAUGAAAAAGAAAUGCAAUGUUAGGUAGUAGUAAGAGUGACAGUCUGGAACAUGGGUGGUUGUGGUUGAAGUCUUCACUGAAGCCACUGGAUGGAUGGUCCUCCUGGGCCUUCAUACACUAUCAUCCUGGCCUAAAAGCUAUUGUGAGGGUGAAAAUGGGCUGUAAGAAAGCCAUUUGUAUCCCUUGGAGCAUACUCAAAGAAAGACAGGAAAGAGGGGUAGCUGAAAAUUAAGCAGGUGCAUAUUGAUCCCUUCCUCAGAGGUGGAAAAAGGGAUGAUAUAGGAUGGGAUAUGGGGGCAUCUAGGCAGUGGAAGGAUCAUGGAUUGGUGGGUAGGAAAACUGAUGGAAGAGGAGGGUGUACUCCAAAGCCUGUGACCAGUCCAAGAUUGUUCAUUGGGGAGGAAGACCAGAAAGUAUUAUUCAGCUGGUCUGAUGCACUUUGACUUGGGAGAGUGAGAGUUGAAUUACCAUUUACUGUUCGAAAGGAAUUAAUCCAAUGCCAAAACUACCUUCCUAUGUUGUGACAAGUAAAAUAAAAAUGGCACAGAAAAAAUAAAACAAUAAUCCAACAACCAUAAAAAGAAGUUUGAUGCAUUCAAAUUGACACAGGAAAAGGAGUUGCAGGAAAACUGGAUCUGCUUGAUGGGAAUUUAAGCUUCCUGGGCUGACUGAAGUAUCCCCUGAAACUUUCUAGUCCAUCAAACUGGGCAAAGGGAGCUCUUCAUUAGCAAGACAUUUAGAAAGUAGAAAUAGUAGACCUGCUUGCAUUCCAAAACUCCACUGGACUUCAGCUGAAGAUUAGGACUAGCUUUUCUUUAACUCCAUGUUCUCGUAAAGAGAAAUAGUAAGGUUGUUUGGAUCUUACUAUUAAGGAGCCCCUGGUGGUGCAGUGGGUAAAACCGCUGAGCUGCUGAACAUGCUGACCGAAAAGUCGGUGGUUUGAAUCCAGGGAGUGGGGUGAGCUCCCGCUAUUAGCCCCAGCUUCUGCCAACCCAGCAGUUCGAAAACAUGCAAAUGUGAAUAGAUCAAUAGGAACUGCUUCUGUGGGAAGGUUACGGCACAUGACUUAGGAGGUGUCUACGGGCAACGCCGGCUCUUUGGCUUAGAAAUGGAGGUGACUUAAUGUCAGAGGAAAACCUUUAGACUUAAUGUCAGAGGAAAACCUUUACCUAACCUUAAGGUUGUUUGACCUGUUUUUUUUUUCUGAUUGGUCUCUCAAAGUAAGUAGUUUAGGAAAGUCUGGGAGCCCUUCAAAAGGUUUUUAGAAGGAAAGACCAUUUCAACGUGGGGGUUUCAAAUUUGACUAUUAUAAAUUUUAAUUUUCACCACUCGUUUAACUUCCUUCUGUUAAAAAAAAAAAGGUCACGAUGAAGAAAAAAAAAGAACUACAGUUCACAAUUGCUGGUGGCUUGUGAACAGGUUGUGAAACAGUGAGCUUUUUGCUUUUGCUUUUUGGUGUAUUUCUUUGCCAAGUACUUUGCAUUUUUAUAUCGCCAUUUGUUCAGAUUUUUUUUUCUUUUUUAUAUAAAUAUGGACAUUUUAGCUCUGUUUUUGGUUUUUGGUUUUCUCUCUCUCCCUUUUUGAUCCUUUUUAAAUCUCAGUUUUCCCACUUUCUAUACAAUCAAAUGUUCUCAUUCUUUCAAUGUUAAUUUACUCUAUCUUAUAAGGUAAAACUUCAAUAAAAAUAUAUAUUAAAAAAAAAGUAAGUAUGGACUUAAUUUGCAAGUCCCGUGGCUAUUGUAUCUGUCUCUGAGGAUAUCCUCUUGUGGAAAGGAAACCAGGAAAACUUCAAGAACUAUGCCCUGUCCUUAAUGUCUUAAUUCAGUCACUCCUACAUAUCAACAUAUUCUGUAUCCAUGGGUUCAACCACCCAAGGUUUGAAACUAUUUUUAAAAAAUCCAAAGAGCAAACCUGGAUUUUGCCAUAUGAGGGGACAACAUUUUGCUACACCAAUGUAUAUAAUGGUGUUUGGUAUCUAUGGGCUAGGGCCACUGGUGGUGGCGCAGUGUGUUAAAGCGCUGAGCUGCUGAACUUGCAGACUGAAAGGUCCCAGGUUCAAAUCCCAGGAGCGGAAUGAGCGCCCGCUGUUAGCCCCAGCUCCUGCCAACCUAGCAGUUCGAAAACAUGCAAAUGUGAGUAGAUCAAUAGGUACCGCUCUGGCGGGAAGGUAAUGGCGCUCCAUGCAGUCAUGCCGGCCACAUGACCUGGAGAUGUCUAUGAACAACACCGGCUCUUUGACCUAGAAAUGGAGAUGAGCACCAACCUCCAGAGUCGGACAUGACUGGACUUAACGUCAGGGGAAAACCUUUACCUGAUCUAUGGGGUAGUAGGCAUGCUCUUGGAACCAGAUUCCAAUGGAUACCAAAGAUCCACUAUAGACCCUUAAAAGCAACUGUUUUGAAGGCCACUUUGAAAACUGGAAAGGCCAAACUAGUUGGAACAAACAUGAUUUGUGCUCAUUUUAACCCCAAUCCCACCCCACCCCCCGGUAGUGUUCAAGCAUCUAGAAGGUCUGAAUUCAAGAAAGUUGUCCCCAUGGUAGUUAGUAAAGAGCAGAUACUUUCUCUGACUCUACUAAGACAGAAGUGUGUGUGUGUAUGUGUGAGCGAGAGAGAGUUGAGAGGGGGGUUGCUAGCAAUAAAAAUGUGCUGGAACAUCUCAUUUUUUAAAUUGAUAAUUCUCAAAAUUAGCUUUCCUGAGGGCAGCAAUAAAUUAAUGUAAUGAAUGGGUGGUAAGGGGGAAGAUAAUUAUUUUAAUGGGAGAGUAGGAUGGAGAGAGAGAGAAAAAAACCUCUUACUUGAUAAGAUCAUUCAGGGAAUGAGGCACGCAUUACCAAGUAAAAUAUGGCAGAUUCAAAUGAAUAAUGUCUCCAUUGUGUCAUCUUAUGCAACCAUGACACAACGGGAAUGCUACUCUGGAUAAAGAUUUCUUGCCAUAGAGAAAAAGAAAGACCAAGAGAGUUCUAAUAGGGCUUUCUACUUGAGUUGCUUGCCUUCUGCGUUUGAUGGGAUCCUCCCCCACCGCCAUGGAAGAGCAUUCAAUCUCACACCUAUAUACCCCACAUCCUGAAAUUGUAUACAGUCGUUUCCUUCAUAUCCACAGAAUCUGUAUCCAUAGAGUCAACCAAUCAUGGCUAAAAAAUAGAGGUGUGCAAAAUGGCACAGAAUGUGCUCUGUUUCCAUUAUGUUUUUGGGUGCCCCUUCUUGCUCUGUUUUUGCGAAAAUUCUUCUCAAAAUGGAGACAGAACUCAGGGUUCCAAAUGAUCAAUACUAAUCUUCUGGAAUCUUCCCAAAAAUAGAACAGUGGUGGGGGGACCCAAAAGUCAAAAUGCAAACAGAACGAAAACAGAACGGAUUUGCACACCCUUACUAUAAAAUUGAAGAAGCAAAUUUUGAUUUUCCCAUUUUACUGUUCCAGAUAUUUUCCUCUGACCUUCUUUCCCUCUGCAUAUUUCUAAGUACCAGAGUGAGUGUUAUGUAUUUUUCUUUUACUGCUUUGGUGUUAACACUUUCGUACAAUGGUAUAUCAUUUUUUUCUUCAAAAAGGCAUCCAUCAAGUAUGUGGGAAACUCAUAGAGGGAGAUGUGAAGUUCUCAGAGUGGGUGACAGGGAAAGGGAAUAAGGAAUCCCCACCCCAUACCACCAUGGGCCACAUGUCACGCAUGAAUAAAAAGCAUGGAUGGAACUUCAGUAUACAGUAGAGUCUCACUUAGCCAACAUAAACGGGCUGGCAGAACGUUGGAUAAGCGGAUAUGUUGGAUAAUAAGGAGGGAUUAAGGAAAAACCUAUUACACAUCAAAUUAGGUUAUGAUUUUACAAAUUAAGCACCAAAACAUCAUGUUUAACAACAAUUUUGUCAGAAAAAGUAGUUCAGUACACAGUAAUGCUAUGUAGUAAUUACUGUAUUUACGAAUUUAGCACCAAAAUAUCAUGAAGUAUUGAAAACAUUGACUACAAAAAUGUGUUGGAUAAUCCAGAACGUUGGAUAAGUGAGACUCUACUGUAUUUAGAGCAUGACUGGAUUCAGAAAUGGGAGCGACAAUUGCAAAGCAUGAAAUUUGGAAACAGAAUAACCUUGUAUUUAUUGGAGCUAUUGGCAUAUCCAGAGAAAUUCCGAAUUGCAUGAUCAGAACAGAUUGCCUUCUGAUUUUAUUUUAUUUUUUGAAAAAAAGUCAGAAAAUUGAAAAAAAAAAGAUCAUAUUCAAAAUCUGUUUUUAAAAAAUCCUAUGUUUUUGUUGUGAGGUGGCAAUUGUUAACAUUUUUACAUAAUUGCUUGUAGGAAUGAAAUAAGUGAAGAUUUAGUGCUUUAUUAUCCCAGUCUGUUGUCUCAUAGCAAUUGCAUAAUUCAAGCAAAUAGAAAUAUUUUAGUAUGGAAACAAUCAAUCUCAUACCUUCUCUCCAGUAGUGUUAUGGUGUCACUUUGGUGAUGCAUGUUCCCACACUUAUGCAGUUUCAGCACUUCUCACAUAGUGCUGACGUAGUCACAUAAUCUAAAUGUGCUGGUUGCCCUCAAAGCAGCUCAGUCGCACAAUUAUGGCUAUUUUUUAUUUUAAAAAAUGGGGAAUAGAGUAUAGCAAUAUUGUUUCACCCUGCUUGGAGAUAGAGAAAAGGAGAAUAGGAGAAUGGCCACUUCUACUGCAUCUGCUGGAAUAUGGAAUAUGGAGGAUGCACUGGAAUUAAACAAUUGCACCAGAAACAAUAGUUAAACAACAGCGAUAUUGGCACCAUUGAUGGGUUUUCCCAUCAAUGAAAAGGAGUUCCUUGUGGCUUCUUCUUCUUCAUUCGUUUAGUCGUUUUCAACUCUUCGUGACCUCAUGGACCAGUCCAUGCCAGAGAUCCCUGUUGGCCGUCACCUCCCCCAGUUCCUUCAAGUUCAAGCCAGUCACUUCAAGGAUACCAUCCAUCCAUCUUGCCCUUGAUCAGCCUCUCUUCCUUUUUCCUUCCUUUUUCCGCAGCAUCAUUGUCUGCUCCAAGCUUUCCUGUCUUCUCAUGAUGUGGCCAAAGUACUUCAACUUUGCCUCCAAUAUCCUUUCCUCCAGUGAGGCAUUAUUUCCCGGGCAUUAUUUCCUGGAGGAUGGACUGGUUGGAUCUUCUUGCCCCGGGUGGCACAGUGGGUUAAACCCUUGUGCUGGCAGGACUGCUGGCUUGAAGGUUGGCUUGCUGACCUGAAGGUUGCCAGUUCGAAUCCAACUCAGGGAGAGCAUGGAUGAGCUCCCUAUAUCAGCUCCAGCUCCAUGCGGGGACAUGAGAGAAGCCUCCCACAAAGAUAGUAAAGACAUCAAAACAUCCAGGCAUCCCCUGGGCAACGUCCUUGUAGACGGCCAAUUCUCUCACACCAGAAUCGACUUGCAGUUUCUCAAGUCACUCAAGGCACAUGAAAAAAAAAAUCAAUGAAAAGAUAUGAUUCAAUGCAGCAUGGGAGAAUUACAAAUGGGUUAAAGAGUUAUCAGAUCAAUUUUAGUCACCAUUUUGAGCCAGAAACAAAUGUAAACAAUGAUUCUGCAAAUGGAGAAUAUCUCAUUAGGACUUAUGCAAAUGACUAUGGCUAGGGGCUGUUUGUAUGCUGGGAGAGCAUCUGGCAGUAAUAAUUUGAAACUCUAUGUGGUAAGAGCAGUUCAUGGUUACAUUCGUAUAUUCAAUAUCUCUGCAGAUCAAUGCUUUUUUUCUGUGAUCAAUUUUCCUGUUUCUACAGUGAGGAAGUUCUCACCUUACAUUUUAGAGCUAUUGUAUAGAUUUGCCCAGUGACCAAAAUCCUAGCCCGACUUGUUCCUAUGUUGUUAACACCUGCUUAUCUGUAGGCAUGUGCAAAAUGCCAGAAAUCCAUUCUGUUUUUGUUUUGAAUUUUGGGUCCCCCCCCCCCCCCCCCGGGUUCUGUUUAUGGGAAGAUUUUCCCAAAAUGAUAACGGAACUCUGGAUUCCAAAUUAUGAACCUGAACAACCUUCUUCCCAAUCUGUCAGAAUCUUCCCAAAAACAGAACGGGGGCACCCAAAAUUCAAAACAAAAAUGGAACAAAAACACAUAAAGGAUUUCUGCAGUUUCACACACUCCAACUCAUCAGGGAAGCUUUUCAUGGCAUGAGAGUGGCCAUUAUUGAUUGCAAUGAUGCCCAUUCAAGUCUUUAGAUUCAUGUCAACUCUAGAUUUAUGAAUUUUAUGAAGUUAGUUAAGAAUGGGGGCCCCUGAUGGCACAGUGUGUUAAAGGUCCCAGGUUCAAACCCCAGGAGUGGAAUGAGUGCCCGCUGUUAGCCCCAGCUCCUGCCAACCUAGCAGUUCGAAAACAUGCCAAUGUGAGUAGAUCAAUAGGUACCGCUCCGGCGGGAAGGUAACAGUGCUCCAUGCAGUCAUGCCGGCCACAUGACCUUGGAGGUGUCUUUGAACAACGCUGGCUCUUCGGCUUAGAAAUGGAGAUGAGUACCAACCCCCAGAGUCGGUCACGACUGGACAACGUCAGGGGAAACCUUUACCUUUACCUUUACUAUUUAAGGAUAGCUAAAAGAUGGUUUAGCUACCUCCUUCCUCAGAUAUACAGUAGACCCAUGUAUUACACAAAGGUUUCAUUUCAGGACCCUGUGGGUAAUACAAUUUAUUUAUUUAUUUACAGCAUUUAUAUUCCACCCUUCUCACCCCGAAGGGGACUCAGGGCGGAUCACAUUACACAUAUAGGCAAACAUUCAAUGCCUUUUAACAUAGAACAAAGACAAGACAAACAUAGGCUCCGAGCGGGCCUCGAACUCAUGACCUCCUGGUCAGAGUGAUUCAUUGCAGUGAUUCAUUGCAGCUGCUCUCCAGCCUGCACCACAGCCCGAGCCCUAUUGUUCAUGUAAUCUGGAACCCUAUUUUUCUUACCUGAAAUGAGUGAUGUUCUAGGCUAAUAAUAAUAAUAAUAAUAAUAAUAAUAAUAAUAAUAAUAAUUGAUAUUUUACAUAUUCAUUGGUUCUUGGACAGUAUUUGAUGAUCCAAAGCUCCAGUCAGUAACACCUGGCACACUGUGAAAAUGAUAUAAUGGCAACAACGUCAUCUUGAACAAUUAAGACUAACAAGAUGUAGGCCAUGGUGCCUGAUCUAUGACUGAUUUAAAGUAUAUAGUUCUGGAGAAUGCUAAACCAGGGCUAUAUUCCAGUCCAAGUUAGGCUUUGCUGGUGAGUAUUGAAUUCCCGCUUGGACGAGAAAGGAGAAGGAAAACCCAUUGGUUUCCAGUUCUGACGAAUAAGCCUAUGCGAAGAUCAAAUUAUGUUAAAGCUACCUGACCAGUCCAGGCAAGCUAAUCAAAUUAGAGCAUACUUCCAGAUGAUUAGAAAUGGAACAUGGACUAAUUUGCUAUGCGUACUGUGGACAGAUGUAAUAUUAUAACAGUUUGGAAUUAAAACCUACUCACGUAUGUACAAAGUACGUACAAGAUGCUCAGAGAACAAGCCAGUUAUGGAUGUUAUUUCCUAAAAGAAAAACACGUACUCAGUGUUUCAGCAAGUGAACUCUCGAAAUCUUGCUCUGAAUUAUAAACUCAUAUAAAAUAUAAUUAUACGCUUCAGUUUGCUGGUUCUGGUUAUUACAUUUUAUUAUUGUAUUUUUAUUGUGUUUUGCUUUUAAGCUGCCCCAAGAACAUUCUUAAUUGGCAGUCCCCUUAAAGCUCAUAAAAUAAAUGAAUUGAUUUUACUUAUUGUUUUUAUACUGGUUAGGAUCCAUGCAUGAGCACACGUACGCUGUAUGCGAACAUACACACAGAGUUGGGUAUAGGCAAUUUUCUUCCUGUCUCCUUUAUGGGCUCUUCAUGUUUUGUGAGAAAACCUUUUUUAAAAAUAAAUUUUAUUUAUGAUUUUAAGAUUUACAUUGAAAGUGGGGGAACCAUUGUGUCAGAUAGAAAAGUGUCCGGAAAAAAAAUUGUACUAAAAAAAGAAGAAAAAGGAAAAAAAAGAAAAGAAAAAAGAGGAAAAAAAGGGGGAGAAAAAAGAGGAGAGGUGUGGAUUAAAAAAUUGUCUUUUUGUGGACUGUUGUAGGAAAUCUUUUAUGAUGGCUCCACCAGCUGUGGAGUGGGGGAAUUUUUCAGGAUCCAUGGGAUCUGCAACUGGAAAAGGAGAGGUCAAAA